CCCUUCCUGCACAAAAGUGUCCUGCUAUAAGAUGCCUCAUUGUGCCUUAUGGCUUGGUGAAGAUGUCUGGUGACAGUUAGGAUUGUGCAUGGGAAGGAGAGGAAGGCUCGUCCCUCCAUAGCUCCUUCAGGACCUCUUUCCUAAUGUCCCAUUGAGGUUGAGCUCAGUAGGGAAGAUACACUCAUAGUUUAGUUAGUAGUUGAGGUGAACAUGUAAUUGCAGUUACUUGGACAAUUAAUUAAGAGUAAAUAGAUCUGAGUUUUCAUUUUGUAAUUGUAGCAUUCUGGGAUUGCAGUUGCUGUUAUCAAGAGAGAGGUGGAUGAUCACCUUAUCUAUUAAUGUGUCUGUACAUUUUUCAGAAAUUGAUUUUAUCACGUGAGGAUUGCCUAGGUAAUAUGAUAUUGUUUGGGUAUUGUUAAUGGUUGUGCUUAAUAUAUUGAAAGCAAGUUAGGAAGGUGCAGCAAAAUAUUCUAAGUUAAGUGAAGAUUCUAACUUAAAUUGGUGAACCAGUAUAGUAGAUAUACAUUUAUGAAAAAUUUACUCUGCUUUUAAAAAUGAACAGUAUAGCAGAACUUCAGGUAGUGGUGACAUUGUGAAUUUUAACCCAAAAAAGUUGAUUUACAUAAUUUGAAUGAGUAAUUGAGCACAUGAAUGUUUAGGAAUUUAUUACUGAAUUUUUUUUUUUUUUUAGAUAAUUGACUUUGGCCAUUUAGUCUUGUCCCUUAACUUAAUUUACUAAGAAACUCUGCUUCUUUUGAUUAAAGAUAAGGUCCGCUAGAUGUUUUAAAGGGAAGAGUAAUGCCCUUUCUUCAAUAGCUUGCUUCAAAACAUUUGAUGUCGGCUAGAUGUUUUAAAGGGAAGAGUAAUGCCUUUCCUUUAAUUGCUUGCUUCAAAACAUUUGAUGUCCAGUGGAGUAAGUUUAAUCGGGAAGGUACGGUGCAUUAAGGAGGGUAUGGUGUAAUGAUGGAUACUGUACGAACUUGCAUUGACUUAUGAAAUUUUAAUUGUUUUAUAAUUUUUAUUUAUUUUUUUUAUUUUUUUUGUAGGAAGUUAUAAAAAUUUAACAGGAAACCAGCUUAUUAAUCAUUUCAAGUGUCCAGUUGAGUGGGAUUUUUUUUUGCUUGGUUUCGGCUGUAACCCAAGUAUUAAUGAGCAUUCGGCUAGUUGAUGAAGGAAGAACCAGUAUAGUUGAAGAUAGGUUGUCAAAUUGACUCUACUGGUCAUCUACAUAUCAUUUAUAGACUCAACAUCAUUUGCAUAUUUACCUGAAAGUGUGGCAGUUUAAUGCAAAGAAAUCCUAAUUUGCUAAUGAGUAAACAUUGAAAUGAAGGUUGGCUGUUUAUCCCACACCUUAGACAGUGCUCCUCAAAAGCCAAGAAUUGUGUGUAAGAAUUUUACUUCCUUUUACUGUCACUGAUGUGUUGCUUCAUAAAAUGUGUAUGAAGGUAACUAUGAAAGGAAGGAGAUUAUAAGUUCAUCUUUAGAUAGCUCAACCACAUGAGUUUAAAUGUGGAUAGAUGAGUUCAGAUGGGAUGGUACACAGUACAGGGCUGUUACAUUGACUUGUGAAAUAUUUUGUGCUUAAUAUUGUAGAUAAAAUAUUCUGUGCAUAUUCCUUGAAGGGUCUGGUAACAUGUUUAUCACCUAUCAACAUUGCUCCCAUAUUUUUCAUCUGUUCAAUUAGGGGUCCUCUUGAGUUUCUGUAAUCUAUUCCUGAAAAAGGUGACAAAUAUAUAUAUUAGGUAGACUGUAGUAUAAAUGCUUGAUUGUCAUGCCAUUCACUGUUGUUGUCUGGAUCCAUUAUAGUAGAUGUAUGGACAUACUCUUACCUCCUUCAACAUUUCAAGGGUAAUCUAGAGAAUAAGAUGUCAGUAUUUAGUUUGUUUCCCUAUCCCAAGGAUGUCUGUGGCAUUUGCACCGAGGUUAAAUUUAUAAAUAAAUAGCUUUAUUUGAAAUGCUAAGGAUUUCUUAAUAAAUUUUGACCAUUGCAGGUGGCGUCUCUUUUAGUCAUAGCCAAGUAAAAUUAGGAUUUAUGAAAAUUGGCAAAAAAAAAAAAAAAAACAGGAUUUAUGAAAGUGUGUGUUUGCUACUAUGGGAGUGUUUAACAAGCCCGGAGCACUGAGUAACAAUUGAAGAUUUUUUUCUCAGUUUGUACCUGCAGCAUCAUCUGAACUAUAUUUUACAUUUAAUUCAUUUUAAUCUUGUAAAAUUAUUAAAUUUGGUCUUUUGCAGGUUGGACAUUAUUUUUCUGUGAGCAGUUGUUGUAGUUGUGUUCAAGUUCUAAGAAGUUCUGCGUUGUAUAAUAAGGUGUAGAGUGGUGAUUCUGCGUUGGAUAAGAGGAAGUAGUGGAAGAUGUUCAGUCUUGAAAAUAAAAGCGUGGUGAUCCUGCUUUGGGUAAGAGGAAGUAGUGGAAGAUGUUCCGUCUUAAAAAUAAAAGCGGGUGUUCCUACUGUGGAUAAAAGGAAGUCUGACAAAUGUUCCAUCUAGAAAAGACUAUUAAAUCUAGAGGGUGUUUCUGCCAUGGAUUAAAGGAAGAAGUCUGGCAUAUGUUCCAUCUUGAGAAAAGAUUAUAUAAUCUAGAGUUGGCCUUCCAAGAAACAUCCCAGGUUGAAGAAUAAUACCAGUUGACAGGAAACAAGAAGUCAAGAGUGCAGUCUUGGCAGUUGUUAUAUGAGGUGUAGAAAAACAUCCAAAGGAGUGUAGCAGUAAGAGGAUUGGUUUUGGCUUCAGUUAAUGUGCCACUGGUUUCUGAUGGGAGUCUUGCACAUGCUGCUACAUCUAUUCUAGACAAAGAUGGUCAGCUGCUUACAAUGAGUGAGCUAUACACAUGAUCUAUUGUAGUACAGCUGUCCUCGAGUUAAAGGAGAUUGGUUACCUUGUGUAGGCCUUCAACAAAUUGAUGUCUGCAGAGGUCUUAUCAUUGGGCAAAUGGUUAAUGGACGUAUGCAGAAAUGAUUCUCAGGGAUGAGUGUAGCUGCUGUAAGUUGGGAAGGUUGGAUCAUCCUGGCAGACAACUCUUAAAAGUUGACAACUGGGGAAAUAGCAGCAUCAGAAGGGCCAUACAAUAAGGAAACAGCCUGGUUAUG